rnacentral:rRNA from 1 species
UGAACGCUAGCGACAGGCCUAACACAUGCAAGUCGAGGGGCGAGCACAAGGAGCAAUCUGAGGUGGCGACCGGCGCACGGGUGAGUAACACGUAUGCAACCUGCCUGUAAGCGGGGAAUAACCCGUUGAAAGACGGACUAAUACCGCAUAAUACUAAAUUACUGCAUGGUAAUUUAUUUAAACAUUUAUGGCUUACAGAUGGGCAUGCGCAUGAUUAGCUAGUUGGAGAGGUAACGGCUCCCCAAGGCAACGAUCAUUAGGGGUUCUGAGAGGAAGGUCCCCCACACUGGUACUGAGACACGGACCAGACUCCUACGGGAGGCAGCAGUGAGGAAUAUUGGUCAAUGGACGAGAGUCUGAACCAGCCAAGUCGCGUGCAGGAAGAAUUGUCCUAUGGAUUGUAAACUGCUUUUGCAGGGGAAUAAAGUGCAUCACGUGUGAUGUUUUGUAUGUACUCUGCGAAUAAGGAUCGGCUAACUCCGUGCCAGCCGCCGC